GGGGGUAUAGCUCAGUUGGUAGAGUGCUUGCCCCUCGUGCAAAAGGCUCUGGGUUUGAACCCCGGCCCCCU
rnacentral:tRNA from 1 species